UACGGGAGGCAGCAGUAGGGAAUNUUCGGCAAUGGACGAAAGUCUGACCGAGCAACGCCGNGUGAGUGAAGAAGGUUUUCGGAUCGUAAAACUCUGUUGUUAGAGAAGAACAAGGACGUUAGUAACUGAACGUCCCCUGACGGUAUCUAACCAGAAAGCCACGGCUAACUACGUGCCAGCAGCCGCGGUAAUACGUAGGUGGCAAGCGUUGUCCGGAUUUAUUGGGCGUAAAGCGAGCGCAGGCGGUUUCUUAAGUCUGAUGUGAAAGCCCCCGGCUCAACCGGGGAGGGUCAUUGGAAACUGGGAGACUUGAGUGCAGAAGAGGAGAGUGGAAUUCCAUGUGUAGCGGUGAAAUGCGUAGAUAUAUGGAGGAACACCAGUGGCGAAGGCGGCUCUCUGGUCUGUAACUGACGCUGAGGCUCGAAAGCGUGGGGAGCAAACAGGAUUAGAUACCCUGGUAGUCCACGCCGUAAACGAUGAGUGCUAAGUGUUGGAGGGUUUCCGCCCUUCANUGCUGCAGCAAACNCAUUAACCACUCCGCNUGGGGAGUACGACCCCAAGGAUGAAACUCAAAGGAAUUGACGG
rnacentral:rRNA from 1 species